UGCAGUCGAACGAAGUAGCAAUACUUGGUGGCAGACGGGUGAGUAACAUGUAGGUAUCUACCCUUUGGCCUGGAAUAACACGAGGAAACUUGUGCUAAUACUGGAUAAGUCUUUACGGAGAAAGCUUUAUGCACCAUUGGAUGAGCCUGCACUUGAUUAGUUUGUUGGUGGGGUAAUGGCCUACCAAGACUGUGAUCAAUAGCUGAUUUGAGAGGAUGAUCAGCCACAUUGGGACUGAGACACGGCCCAAACUCCUACGGGAGGCAGCAGUGGGGAAUCUUGCACAAUGGAGGAAACUCUGAUGCAGCGAUGCCGCGUGAGUGAAGAAGGCCCUUGGGUUGUAAAGCUCUUUCGUCGGGGAAGAAAAUGACUGUACCCGAAUAAGAAGGUCCGGCUAACUUCGUGCCAGCAGCCGCGGUAAUACGAAGGGACCUAGCGUAGUUCGGAAUUACUGGGCUUAAAGAGUUCGUAGGUGGUUGAAAAAGUUGGUGGUGAAAUCCCAAGGCUUAACCUUGGAACUGCCACCAAAACUUUUUAACUGGAGUAUGAUAGAGGAAAGUGGAAUUUCUAGUGUAGAGGUGAAGUUCGUAGAUAUUAGAAAGAACACCGAUUGCGAAGGCAACUUUCUGGAUCAUUACUGACACUGAGGAGCGAAAGCAUGGGUAGCGAAGAGGAUUAGAUACCCUCGUAGUCCAUGCUGUAAACGAUGUGUGCUA
rnacentral:rRNA from 1 species